rnacentral:rRNA from 1 species
AUUGAACGCUGGCGGCAGGCCUAACACAUGCAAGUCGAACGGUAACAGGAAGAAGCUUGCUUCUUUGCUGACGAGUGGCGGACGGUGAGUAAUGUCUGGGAAACUGCCUGAUGGAGGGGGAUAACUACUAGGAAACGGUAGCUAAUACCGCAUAAACGUCGCAAGACCAAAGAGGGGGACCUUCGGGCCUCUUGCCAUCGGAUGUGCCCAGAUGGGAUUAGCUAGGUAGGUGGGUAACGGCUCACCUAGGCGACGAUCCCUAGCUGGUCUGACGAGGAUGACCAGCCACACUGGAACUGAGGACACGGUCCAGACUCCUACGGGAGCAGCAGUGGGGAAUAUUGCACAAUGGGAC